rnacentral:lncRNA from 1 species
UUAUUCUUAAAUUUUUUUAAAAAAUUUAGUAUGAAAUUUAAAAAUAUAAACAAUAAAUAUUUUUAUUUAAAUUAAUAUUUUGAUUAAAAUAUUAAAAAAUUAUAAAAAUAAUUAUACUAAAUAAAAUAUUUAAUUUUUUUAAAAAAUAAAUAAAUUUGUAUUAUUUAUUUAAAAAAUAAUUUCUAAACUUCAACUCUUUUUCUCUCUCUAAAUUAAGCUAUUUCUCCCUCUCUUUUUCUAAAAUCUCAACCCUCUCGUUCUCUCUAAUCUUGACUCGAUCUCUUCCUAUUUUUUUAAUUAUACUUUCUCUUUCUAACCUAUAUUAUCUCUUUUUUUUAAAAAAAAAGAUAUUAAAAUUUUUUAUAGUACUAUUUAAAAUUAAUUAAAAAAUAAAUUAAUUGUAUAUUUUUCGUAAUCUUAAAUAACAUGACUAAAUAAUAUGACCGUACGAAUAAAAAUAAAAUUUUCGAAUAUUUUUUUACUCCUAAUAAUCUUUCAUAAUAUAAACCAAACGCGCCCUUGAUAGUCAUCUGUCACUUA